rnacentral:misc_RNA from 1 species
CGAAAUGCGAUAAUUAAUGUGAAUUGCAGAAUUCAGUGAAUCAUCGAAUCUUUGAACGCACCUUGCGCUCCUUGGUAUUCCUUGGAGCAUGCCUGUUUGAGUAUCAUGAAAUCUUCAAAGUAAAUCUUUUGUUAACUCAAUUGGUUUCUACUUUGGUAUUGGAGGUCUUUGCAGCUUCACACCUGCUCCUCUUUGUUCAUUAGCUGGAUCUCAGUGUUAUGCUUGGUUCCACUCGGCGUGAUAAGUUAUCUAUCGCUGAGGACACUGUAAAGGGUGGCCAAGGUAAAUGCAGAUGAACCGCUUCUAAUAGUCCAUUGACUUGGACAAUACUUUUAUGAUCUGAUCUCAAAUCAGGUAGGACUACCCGCUGAACUUAAGC